CGAUUGCGUCCCAAUUUUUUCUUAUCCAGAAAUCAGUCUCUCAGUCGCACAAGAAAUAGUGAGUUCUUUUCCGUGGAAAUCUGAAAGCAUGAAAAAAUCGUGAUUUCAGUUUUAUAUCUUUUCAUUAACUUUUAUAGAUACAAAUUGAGAAUGGAGUCUACACAUAAAAUGAUUGAGAAAUUCUAUACUCCUGAAAUCCGUUAUUACUCAUUUGGAAUGCAAAUGCGCUAUCUUUUUUUACUCUUUGCAACUCAACAUGAAGAAACAAUAGAUAACGCACUUAGUGAAAUACCAGCCUUAUCACUGAUGUCUGCUUUUGGUCUAAGGAAGAUCAGAUAAAUCCGGCCACUAAAUAAUAGAAAUUGAAUGAUAUAAAUCUUGUCAGAAUCAAUUUGAUGAACUGGAAAGGACUCAUGGAGAAUUCGAUUUUAAAAAUAGACCAAGAAAAUAUAUUUCGAACCAGCUUCAUCUGUAUUAUUUUGUUGCUUCGUUCCAGUGAAAAUCAGCGUAAAAGAAGUUUCUGCGUUACUAAGAAUAAAUAAAUAUCAAAAAACAAAAUAUCUAUUUAUCUGAAAUUUAAAUAGCAUUAUUUCUCCAUUUUUAUUUAAUUUCAGCUGAUUAUAUAAUUGUACGAGUACUAAUUUAUUUUAAAGUGCCAUUAAUUAAAAUUGUGCUAUUCAUAAAAGGAG